UAACACAUGCAAGUCGAACGCUGAAGCCUAGCUUGCUGGGUGGAUGAGUGGCGAACGGGUGAGUAACACGUGAGUAACCUGCCCUCUUCUUUGGGAUAACGCCCGGAAACGGGUGCUAAUACUGGAUAUUCACUGGCCUUCGCAUGGGGGUUGGUGGAAAGGUUUUUUCUGGUGGGGGAUGGGCUCGCGGCCUAUCAGCUUGUUGGUGGGGUGAUGGCCUACCAAGGCUUUGACGGGUAGCCGGCCUGAGAGGGUGACCGGUCACAUUGGGACUGAGAUACGGCCCAGACUCCUACGGGAGGCAGCAGUGGGGAAUAUUGCACAAUGGGCGAAAGCCUGAUGCAGCGACGCCGCGUGAGGGAUGGAGGCCUUCGGGUUGUAAACCUCUUUCGCUCAUGGUCAAGCCGCAACUGUGGGUUGUGGUGAGGGUAGUGGGUAAAGAAGCGCCGGCUAACUACGUGCCAGCAGCCGCGGUAAUACGUAGGGCGCGAGCGUUGUCCGGAAUUAUUGGGCGUAAAGGGCUUGUAGGCGGUUGGUCGCGUCUGCCGUGAAAUCCUCUGGCUUAACUGGGGGCGUGCGGUGGGUACGGGCUGACUUGAGUGCGGUAGGGGAGACUGGAACUCCUGGUGUAGCGGUGGAAUGCGCAGAUAUCAGGAAGAACACCGGUGGCGAAGGCGGGUCUCUGGGCCGUUACUGAC
rnacentral:rRNA from 1 species